UCUGGUAAUAAUGGCGAGAAGGUCACACCCGUUCCCAUACCGAACACGGAAGUUAAGCUUCUCAGCGCCGAUGGUAGUUGGGACUUUGUCCCUGUGAGAGUAGGACGUUGCCAGGC
rnacentral:rRNA from 6 species